ensembl:lncRNA
GGUUAUUCACAGGCAAAUUGUUAUAUGCUAUGGAGGUACAUUUGUGUCUUUUUGUUUUUAUUUUCAAUCAAAAAGAAUUGUUCUGAAAUUGUUCCCGACACAUAGGAAGUCAAAGCGGACACCUAUGAAGAUGGCAUCUCAGAGAGCGAGAUGAUCAAGGGGUCGAAAAUGUAGAUAUUGCCAGAUGUUCACUAUCUGAGGAACAGGCCGUGGAAGCUGUAUUGCUGGCAAAAGUGUCCAUAAGCAGAGGUUAUAUCAGCUGUUUUGGUGAACCACUCCCGCAUCUGAACUGCCUGACACAGAGGGCACAGCAUGAUCAUAGGUAUGUUUUGAUGUGAGAGAGGAAGCCAGUCCCGUCAUCGCCACACCACCC